AUUGAACGCUGGCGGCAGGCCUAACACAUGCAAGUCGAGCGAGCGGCGGACGGGUGAGUAAUGUAUGGGGACUGCCCGAUAGAGGGGGAUAACUACUGGAAACGGUGGCUAAUACCGCAUACUAUCGGAUAACCCAUAUGGGAUUAGCUAGUUGGUGGGGUAAAGGCUCACCUAGGCGACGAUCCCUAGCUGGUCUGCGAGGAUGAUCGGCCACACUGGGACUGAGACACGGCCCGGACUCCUACGGAGUCAGCAGAGGGGAAUAUUGGACAAUGGGCGAAGGCCUGAAGCAGCCAUGCCGCGUGUAUGAAGAGGGCCUUAGGGUUGUAAGGUACUUUCAGCGGGGAGGCGUUACCCGCAGAAGAAGCACCGGCUAACUCCGUGCCAGCAGCCGCGGUAAUAC
rnacentral:rRNA from 1 species